CAGCAGGACAGUAGUUGCGGUCGCGUCAGAGGCAGUUUAGACAAUUAAUAUGAUUUAUUUGGUAAUAACCCUGGGUAAUACAAAAGGAUCCCUCUUAGGUUCUCGGGUUUGUUGUUUCUCACGAUUCAUCAAUGAGCUCAUUGCAGUUUACUGAUAAGGAAUAACUUAGGCAGUGGGGGACAACCCAACUACUGACGUCACAACCCAUCUUGUUCCAAGAUGGCCGCAUCUUAGUGCGAAUCGCCAAAAUAACAAACUUUGUUUUUGUAGUAAAUACGGGUCAAUUGCAGGAUGAUUUUGCCUGUUUGCAAGCCAAAGUUAAACGAGCUAAAAUGUCUGCCUCGCUGCACCAGGCCAAACAGGAUCAGCUUGAGGCUAAAUGGGCAGAGUUUGAUGAUAGGAGAAGGAAUCCCAUGGAUCGCCAUACAUGCGUCGUCCUUCUGUCAGUUGGAACGCUGAACCCGAAAAGUUCAUUACUGAUGGAUGCCCGGAAGAGCUGACGAGACGAACUGAUGCUUUAUUUAAUUCUCCGUUACCUUCUGGGACAUGCAGGUGCAGACACCCUAUACUGUAACGGUAUUACACAGUGAGGCACUAUACGUUUAUCUCCUGUAAUGGGUAUUCAAGCUAUCCAUGUAGGUAGUCCGAUGCACACAGUAUUUACCCCUGGUUCGUGUUCUGUUAGACCGUAUACUUUGUGCUUCCAGAUACGCAACUUGAUGUGACAUAAUAGGUACGUAUUAUCUGCAAUUUGUUUAAAAUGUAUAGCUGACUCAUGGCUGGAUUGCUGGACCAUUUAAUGGGAGAUUGUUAUACUGCCAUAUACAGUUAUAUGCGGACUUAUAUGAUAGUUGCAUAACUCCUUUUAAACUAUACAUAGGGAGGGGUGAAAAGAAAGUUACAUUGUAACUAUUUUCUAUGCCAAAUUAUUUUCUUUUGAAUAAGAAGACCGUUGAUCUAAAAAAAAGCUGGAAAAAACAUUAUAAACAAACAAAAACUAUUUCUUGUUACUUCUAUUCUUCUCUCCGCAUGGCCUUCUGAUGCCGCGCGCUUUCAUUGGGCGUUUUUCCGCCAUUAAACCACAUUAAGCUCUAAUUUCGGCCUGUUCUGGGGCAAUUUACCCGUUCUUUAAUUUAUUACGUGCACUCAUGGAUGUGCAACUUUGUGUAUUCCUUUUGGUGGUCAUUAGGUCAUAUGACGUGGUGCCCCGAACACUUGUUUGAAUUUUCAGCGUCAGUUAUAGGCCAUUAAGUGGCAUUAAGCUUAAUCUGUUCCGUUCACUUUCAAUUGAGGGUCUUCUCUAAGUGUGUGGGCCUCCAUAUAGAUUUCAUUUUGACUUAAAAUCUUCACCACAUUAUCUCCUUGAAUACCCCUGCCGCCUGAAUAAAAGAUGAAUUUCUUUAUUUUGAUUUAAUGUCAUUGAGCCACAUUAAGCCCUUGUUUUUCCCUCAAUCUGACGUUUAUCUAUUUUUACAAAAAUGUCUUGCUUUUCUUGCCUCGUUAAGCUGUUUUCAAAUUCAGCCUUUUAGAACAGCCCGCAACUGGUGCAUGUGACAGACUAUAUGCCCUUGAGAAAACGCGGACACUUAACUUAAAUGUAAGAUUUUUUUUUCUUUCAAAAACUUGCGGCCCACUAUUAGUAUCUGUUUUAGCUUAAUCAAAUAAAAGCCAAUUUCGGGUUAUCCAGGCCUUAAUAUCUGGCCUCUAGUUAAGCAGGCUGGAGAAUCUCCCUGGGUUUACCUGAUAUAUAAUGUUGUGUUUCAUAUAGCAAUGAUUGUUAACACCAUGGGGCCUAUUUUCGUCGUAACGUGAGAAUACACGUGCCAGGGCGCAAGUUUAAUCUCCCGCAAACAGAAUAUUUGUCGCCUGUGCCAGACUUGCCAGUUUUGUGGUCUGCAGUGAACUGAAAUGUGUUGACAUGGGUUGGGUACUGCAGUAGAGGGUGUGUCAAUAGCAACAUUAAGCGCUGUGCAAGUUUGGUCUUUGAUAAUGCAUUUGCGUUUUUAAAACCAGCCCAAACCAGGUUUAAAUGCAAACGCUGCUGCAUUAUGCUAUCUUUGUGCCGUUAUGAAUGCACUGCACACUAUGAAUGCAUGAACACAUAACACAGAUGCAAGAAAUAUUUCAACCUAUUUGAUAUGCGAGCUGUGUUCAUUUAUGCAAUCCAAUGUUAGCUAUUUAUGCAUGCACAGAAAUUAGAUUAAUUAAUAUGUAAGCUACUUGAAUGAGACACAAAGGACGCGGGAGACUGACUCUAUGCCCGUCAAAUAGUGUGGGAUGCAUGUCUGUUAAAUUUGUGUGGGUGCACUGGUUUUUGUUUUGUUCAUUUUCGAACGGUCACUGCAGUCACAUGCAGUACAUAAUGGGAUGCUGCAGACCUCCUGGGUCAAAAAUAUGUAUUUGUUUUGGAUUCCAAUGCUUUUUUCUACGCUUUUCUACUGAUCUUGUCUGGUGUAUUGGAACCAUUGAAACCACUCUUGAAAAAAAGUUGCAAACCCUUGCCCUUCUGGUCAUAUUGGCAGGCUCAGUUACCCCAGCCGAGAUCAACAGAGCACAGGAAAGCAUUUGAAUCCAAAAAGAAUACUUGUUUUACCCAGGACUGGGAUUCCGUACGAGGGAGGGCAUGUACAGGCGGUGCAUUUGGUGUUGCUGUUAGGGGACAGCGACGUGCGUUGGCCCCAGAACACGCCGACAGUUUUCUUUUAUUUGUGCAUUCGGCAGGGGCUAAAGUCAAUGAUGGAGCAAACCUUUGGAAUGUUAAAAAAAAAAAACCACUUCUGUUGUACUGGUUGAGCGGUACAUUACAAUUAUACCUGAGAACGUCAGUGUGUGGUUCUUUGUGGUGUGCUGUACUCUGCACUACAUAGCAGUGGCAGUGUAAUGUGAUUAUUAAGGAGCUGGGUUUGUAACCUAGGUUCACUUCUCAGCUAGAACGAUGCCAUUGAGCAAGGCACUUAACCUGAAUUGCUGCAGUAUAUAUGUGGGGGCGACAUAGCUCAGGAGGUAAGACCGAUUGUCUGGCAGUCGGAGGGUUGCUGGUUCAAACCCCGCCCUGGGCGUGUCGAAGUGUUCCUGAGCAAGACACCUAACCCCUAACUGCUCUGGCGAAUGAGAGGCAUCAAUUGUAAAGUGCUUUGGAUAAAAGCGCUAUAUAAAUGCGGUCCAUUUAUAUAUCCUCCUGAGAAAUGGAUAUAAAAGAUGCAAAGGGUGUGUAUAAAUGGAUGCAGAAGCUGCAGGAAGGAGGAACGUGCUGGCUGCAGAGUUGUUUCUCUGUUGAGUGCACAAGUGCAUGUCUGAAAUUAAGUAAACUUAGAUGAAGAGGUGAUUUUUAUUUUUUUUAUUUUAAAUAAUGGUAUUAAACAAAACAAAAAUUACAUAAAAGAAAGGUAUAUAGUCUAUAUAAUAGAUAGUCUGCAGAGCCAACCUGUUGUCAGAUUUAUUAAACCAGGUUUGUACUGUAAUUAAAUAUCUAAUUCGUCAAUUAACAACUGAAAUAUCAUCAAUUCAAUAAAAUAAAUAUUAAUACAUGUGUUUUAAGUUGUUUAUUUUGAAAAAAGUACUUCACUGAAAAUAUUUGCAAAUAUAUAUGGCUAUAGUGUUACAUCCCACUACUGAAAAAAGAGUAAUGCUGGUCCUAACCUUUGCUCCUGAAGACAGCUGUAAUUUUGCAUUAGCCCUCACACUGAAACCCUAAUUCUAGCCCUUAGCCCUGUCCAGCCAAGAUUAGCAUUUCAGGACAGUCGGUAAUGUAUAUAUUUUUUAUUUUUAUCAUUGAUCAUCAGUGAUUUCAAUGCCCCAUCCACACAGAAAAAGGCUUUCCCUUUUAUUACUCCUCAAAAUCACUGAGGGGUCUGUUUGGUUGUUCCCGGGUUUGUUCCUCAUACAUUCCCCCCCUUCCAGGGAAAAAAAAGGAAAAAAAAAAAAAACGAACACUUGGAACAUAUAUGAAAAA